rnacentral:rRNA from 1 species
UACAGAGGGUGCGAGCGUUAAUCGGAAUUACUGGGCGUAAAGCGUGCGCAGGCGGUUGUGCAAGACAGAUGUGAAAUCCCCGGGCUCAACCUGGGAAUGGCAUUUGUGACUGCACGGCUAGAGUGUGUCAGAGGGGGGUAGAAUUCCACGUGUAGCAGUGAAAUGCGUAGAUAUGUGGAGGAAUACCGAUGGCGAAGGCAGCCCCCUGGGAUAACACUGACGCUCAUGCACGAAAGCGUGGGGAGCAAACAGG